UAUAUAAUUGUCAAUUCUAUAUUAUUUCAUUGAGUAGCUUGAAAUGCAACAUCUUCUUUGCUGUAGAAGUCGACAAAAAGAAGCGCAAGGAAGCAAACCGUUUGAAGAGACCAAAGGCACACUUUGCAAGAAUCUUCCCCUUACCAGUUGAGCAUGCUGCAAAGUCGUCUUGCAAAUAAACAAAUUAUGACACCAUGAUGGUGCUAUUAUUGUCUCCUUGGCUUUGCAAUACCUACGAGUUGCUAUGCAGCUUUUAGCCUGAAAAUUUAACGCUUAGUUGAAACUGUUAUUGGAGAUCAAUCCGGCAACACAACCACGGUCAUUUAUUAUUUUACGUAUAUUCAUCCACAACUCUUGCACAAAAUGGUCUAAUCUAUAACUUGAAAUCAU